AGCGAACGUUUGCGGCGGGCCUAACACAUGCAAGUCGAACGCACUAGCAAUAGUGAGUGGCGCACGGGUGCGUAACACGUGGGUAAUCAACCCUUCAGCUUGGGAUAACGACUUGAAAGGGUCGCUAAUACCGGAUACGGCGCGGGAGGCUUCGGCUUCUCACGAGAAAGCCUCGCAAGGGGCACUGAAGGACGAGCCUGCGGCCCAUCAGCUAGUUGGUGAGGUAAGAGCUCACCAAGGCGAAGACGGGUAGCUGGUCUGAGAGGAUGAUCAGCCACACUGGAACUGAGACACGGUCCAGACUCCUACGGGAGGCAGCAGUGGGGAAUAUUGCGCAAUGGGCGAAAGCCUGACGCAGCCACGCCGCGUGAGCGAUGAAGGCCUUCGGGUCGUAAAGCUCUGUGGGGAGAGACGAAGAAAGCCCGUGAAGAGCGGGCCUUGACGGUAUCUCCUUAGCAAGCACCGGCUAACUCCGUGCCAGCAGCCGCGGUA
rnacentral:rRNA from 1 species